rnacentral:tRNA from 1 species
GGAGUUGUGGCUCAGUGGUAGAGCGCUUGCCUGGCAUGCAUGAGGCACUGGGUUCAAUUCCCAGCACCACUA